rnacentral:rRNA from 1 species
GAUGAACGCUGGCGGCGUGCCUAAUACAUGCAAGUCGAGCGAAUGGAUUAAGAGCUUGCUCUUAUGAAGUUAGCGGCGGACGGGUGAGUAACACGUGGGUAACCUGCCCAUAAGACUGGGAUAACUCCGGGAAACCGGGGCUAAUACCGGAUAACAUUUUGAACCGCAUGGUUCGAAAUUGAAAGGCGGCUUCGGCUGUCACUUAUGGAUGGACCCGCGUCGCAUUAGCUAGUUGGUGAGGUAACGGCUCACCAAAGCAACGAUGCGUAGCCGACCUGAGAGGGUGAUCGGACACACUGGGACUGAGACACGGCCCAGAGUCCUACGGGAGGCGGCAGUAGGGAAUCUUCCGCAAUGGACGAAAGUCGGACGGAGCAACGCCGCGUGAGUGAUGAAGGCUUUCGGGUCGUAAAACUCUGUUGUUAGGGAAGAACAAGUGCUAGUUGAAUAAGCUGGCACCUUGACGGUACCUAACCAGAAAGCCACGGCUAACUACGUGCCAGCCGCCGCAGUAA